GAGCUGGGCUCUUUUAAAUUUGUUUUGUGAAGUUUCAGCCUCUUAAUGCUUUUGUAUAGGAAUACUCACUGUGUGGUUUAAUCAUGAUUUAUUAAAAAAAAAAAAAAAAGAACAAAUGAACGAAAAUUGGCAAUCUUUGCUGAUCUUCUAAAAAUACUUUUUUUUUCCUGAAGAAAAAAAAAGCCACACGAAGUGCAAUAGGGUUGUGCGGCGACUCAUUGAUAUUUCUCUGAUGUGAGAUAGAGCUGUGUGUGUGUGACUGGCUAGCAGCUAUCAGUAUUAGCGAGGUGUCUUGCCGAUAUCAGAGUCAGUGUGUCAUUUCAGUUUAACUGGAUGAACUGUC
rnacentral:lncRNA from 1 species